UACGGAGGGUGCAAGCGUUACUCGGAAUCACUGGGCGGAAAGGGUGCGUAGGCGGCCUAGCAAGUCUGGUGUGAAAGCCCAGGGCUCAACCCUGGAAGGGCACUGGAAACUGUUAGGCUUGAGUUCCGGAGAGGAGGGGGGAAUUCCCGGUGUAGCGGUGAAAUGCGUAGAUAUCGGGAGGAAUACCGGUGGCGAAGGCGCCCCUCUGGACGGAAACUGACGCUGAGGCGCGAAAGCGUGGGGAGCAAACAGG
rnacentral:rRNA from 1 species